UGUCUAUAGCUAAAUUGGUUGUAAUUUUCUUUUCACCAUUAUGUGUGCAUUUAAGCGAAGACGAGAGAAGAUGAAAAGGUUGUGGAGGACGAGAAGGAAGGAGAAAUAAGUUAAAGGUCAAGAUUGAUGGGAAGAAGGUCAUCGGGUCACUGGUACAGUUUGGAUGCUCGACAUUCCAGAGGUCUGGGGAGAAACUCGGUCAGCCAUGGGAGUAAAAAGAGUAAAACAGUAUUUUAGAAACAGAUCAAUUUCUUGUGUUAUAAAUCAAGCGAGGGUUUCCCCUGCAAGUGAUGCAGGGUGGUGGGCCUGGUUUCCCCUUGCCAGGAUGCAGGAUGGUGGCCCUGGUUUCUCCUUGCCAGGAUGCAGGAUGGUGGCCCUGGUUUCACCUUGCCAGGAUGCAGGAUGGUGGCCCUGGUUUCACCUUGCCAGUGAUGCAGGAUGGUGGGCCUGGAAAGGUAAUGCGUCUGGUCAUUCUGAUAAAAUAGAAAUCUAAGGUCUGAUGUACGCAAUGGAGUGUAAAUAAAACAACCUUUGGCAGUUAAAAUUGUACGUGGUAAGCGGAAACCCUACUAUUCGUGAAAAAUUGCUCUCACCGUCACAGCACACUUUAUGAUGUAUCCCAGCUGAUACA